CUACACGACCGUACCGCAAACCGACACUGGUGCGCGAGAUGAGUAUUCUAAGGCGCUUGAGAGAACUCAGGAGAAGGAACUCGGCAAAUUGACACCGUAACUUCGGAAGAAGGUGUGCCUUUAGUAGGUGAACCUGUACAAGGGGAGCCCAAUGAGGUUGCAAAAAAUCGGUGGCUGCGACUGUUUAAUAAAAACACAGCACUCUGCAAACACGAAAGUGGACGUAUAGGGUGUGACGCCUGCCCGGUGCUGGAAGAUUAAAUGAUGGGGUGCAAGCUCUUGAUUGAAGUCCCAGUAAACGGCGGCCGUAACAAUAACGGUCCUAAGGUAGCGAAAUUCCUUGUCGGGUAAGUUCCGACCUGCACGAAUGGCGUAACGAUGGCCACACUGUCUCCUCCUGAGACUCAGCGAAGUUGAAAUGUUUGUGAUGAUGCAAUCUCCCCGCGGAAAGACGGAAAGACCCCAUGAACCUUUACUGUAGCUUUGUAUUGGACUUUGAACAGAUCUGUGUAGGAUAGGUGGGAGGCUUUGAAGUGUGGUCGCUAGAUCGCAUGGAGCCAACGUUGAAAUACCACCCUGGUGUGUUUGAGGUUCUAACCUAGGCCCGUAAUCCGGGUCGGGGACAGUGCAUGGUAGGCAGUUUGACUGGGGCGGUCUCCUCCCAAAGCGUAACGGAGGAGUUCGAAGGUACGCUAGGUACGGUCGGACAUCGUGCUAAUAGUGCAAUGGCAUAAGCGUGCUUAACUGCGAGACUGACAAGUCGAGCAGAUGCGAAAGCAGGACAUAGUGAUCCGGUGGUUCUGUAUGGAAGGGCCAUCGCUCAACGGAUAAAAGGUACUCUGGGGAUAACAGGCUGAUACCGCCCAAGAGUUCAUAUCGACGGCGGUGUUUGGCACCUCGAUGUCGGCUCAUCUCAUCCUGGGGCUGUAGCCGGUCCCAAGGGUAUGGCUGUUCGCCAUUUAAAGAGGUACGUGAGCUGGGUUUAAAACGUCGUGAGACAGUUUGGUCCCUAUCUUCCGUGGGCGCUGCAGAUUUGAGGAAGCCUGCUCCUAGUACGAGAGGACCGGAGUGGACACACCUCUGGUGUAUCGGUUGUCACGCCAGUGGCAUUGCCGAGUAGCUAUGUGUGGAAGAGAUAACCGCUGAAAGCAUCUAAGCGGGAAACUCGUUUCAAGAUGAGAUCUGCCGGGGCCUUGAGCCCCCUAAAGAGUCGUUCAAGACCAGGACGUUGAUAGGUCGGGUGUGGAAGCGCAGUAAUGCGUUAAGCUAACCGAUACUAAUUGCUCGUGCGGCUUGACCCG
rnacentral:rRNA from 1 species